CACAUAUUUUACUCGUUUCGUGGCCGGCAGCUGGACCCAUACCGUCAGCCUGUUCGUGCUUUUGCUUUUUGGCUACGAAGGGAACUGGGCUGUAGCCUACAAGGAAACAACCUCGCGCGAGAUUUCAGGUUUUAGUUGGGAUUUGUAUUUGCUCCAGGGUAUAUAAUGGAGCACCUGAUAUCCUCUCCCAUCUAUCGCAAAGGAACGAACAGAACCCAGAAAAAAAA
rnacentral:lncRNA from 7 species